rnacentral:rRNA from 1 species
AUUGAACGCUGGCGGCAGGCCUAACACAUGCAAGUCGCACGAGAAAGGGCUUCGGCCUGAGUAGAGUGGCGGACGGGUGAGUAACGCGUAGGAAUCUGUCUGGUAGUGGGGGAUAACGCGGGGAAACUCGCGCUAAUACCGCAUACGCCCCGAGGGGGAAAGCAGGGGAUCUUCGGACCUUGCGCUAUCAGGUGAGCCUACGUCGGAUUAGCUAGUUGGUAGGGUAAAGGCCUACCAAGGCGACGAUCCGUAGCUGGUCUGAGAGGAUGAUCAGCCACACUGGGACUGAGACACGGCCCAGACUCCUACGGGAGGCAGCAGUGGGGAAUAUUGGACAAUGGGGGCAACCCUGAUCCAGCCAUGCCGCGUGUGUGAAGAAGGCCUCGGUUG